rnacentral:rRNA from 1 species
GACGAACGCUGGCGGCGUGCCUAACACAUGCAAGUCGAACGAAGUAUGUUUUUCGGAAUAUACUUAGUGGCGGACGGGUGAGUAACGCGUGAACAAUCUGCCCUGUACAGAGGAAUAGCCUCGGGAAACCGGGAUUAAAACCGCAUAAAACUAUAGUAUCGCAUGAUACAUUAGUCAAAUUGAUUAAGAGGUAUAGGAUGAGUUCGCGUCUGAUUAGCUAGUUGGUGGGGUAAAGGCCUACCAAGGCGACGAUCAGUAGCCGGCCUGAGAGGGUGAACGGCCACACUGGAACUGAGACACGGUCCAG